rnacentral:rRNA from 1 species
CACCGCGGUUAUACGGGAGGCCCAAGUUGAUAAUUACCGGCGUAAAGUGUGGUUAGGGUGACCACUUACUAAAGUCGAACGCCCUCUUUCGCUGUGAUACGCAUCUGAAGGUAGGAAGAACAACUACGAAAGUGACUUUAAUAAACCUAAAUCCACGAAAGCUAAGAAA